rnacentral:rRNA from 1 species
ACGGCUCAGUAACACGUGGAUAACAUGCCCUAAGGUGGGGGAUAAUCUCGGGAAACUGAGGAUAAUACCCCAUAGGUCUGAUCUGCUGGAAUGCUUUCAGGCCGAAAACUCCGGUGCCUUAGGAUUGGUCUGCGGUCUAUCAGGCAGUAGUGGGUGUAACGGACCCACUAGCCCGUGACGGAUAUGGGCCUUGAGAGAGGGAGCCCAGAGAUGGACUCUGAGACAUGAGUCCAGGCCCUACGGGGCGCAGCAGUCGCGAAAACUUCGCAAUGGGGGCAACCCCGACGAGGGAAUUCCAAGUGCCAGCACUUUGUGUUGGCUGUUCUCCUGUCUAAAAAACAGGAGGAGUAAGGGGCGGGUAAGACGGGUGCCAGCCGCCGCGGUAAUACCCGCGCCCCUAGUGGUGGUCGAUAUUAUUGAGCCUAAAACGUCCGUAGCCGGUCUUUUAAAUCCUUGGGUAAAUCGGGCAGCUUAACUGUCCGAAUUCCGGGGAGACUGGAAGACUUGGGACCGGGAGAGGUCAGAGGUACUUCUGGGGUAGGGGUAAAAUCCUGUAAUCCUGGAAGGACCACCGGUGGCGAAGGCGUCUGACUAGAACGGAUCCGACGGUGAGGGACGAAGCCCUGGGGCGCAAACGGGAUUAGAUACCCCGGUAGUCCAGGGUGUAAACGCUGCGGGCUUGGUGUUGGGGGUCCUUAGUGGGCGCCCAGUGCCGGAGAGAAGUUGUUAAGCCUGCUGCUUGGGGAGUAUGUCCGCAAGGAUGAAACUUAAAGGAAUUGGCGGGGGAGCAC